AGCGAACGCUGGCGGCAGGCCUAACACAUGCAAGUCGAACGAACUCUUCGGAGUUAGUGGCGGACGGGUGAGUAACACGUGGGAACGUGCCUUUAGGUUCGGAAUAACUCAGGGAAACUUGUGCUAAUACCGAAUGUGCCCUUCGGGGGAAAGAUUUAUCGCCUUUAGAGCGGCCCGCGUCUGAUUAGCUAGUUGGUGAGGUAAAGGCUCACCAAGGCGACGAUCAGUAGCUGGUCUGAGAGGAUGAUCAGCCACAUUGGGACUGAGACACGGCCCAAACUCCUACGGGAGGCAGCAGUGGGGAAUCUUGCGCAAUGGGCGAAAGCCUGACGCAGCCAUGCCGCGUGAGUGAUGAAGGUCUUAGGAUUGUAAAAUUCUUUCACCGGGGACGAUAAUGACGGUACCCGGAGAAGAAGCCCCGGCUAACUUCGUGCCAGCAGCCGCCGUAA
rnacentral:rRNA from 1 species